CUGCUGAUUGUUUAUGCUUCUAAUCUACUGUACAUAACAUAGCGUCAGCGGUCACUUCCAUUAACCUUUUCCUUUUUUUAAAGAUGAGUUCCAUAGCUGCUUUGUCUUUAUCUAUGUGCACAAUCGAUGCUAUAGUCCAACUGUUAAGAGCUAUUUGUAGAACAUCAGGUCAGGGGGAUAUGUAAAAGCAUGUGUUGCAUUCAGUGUUGUUUCUCACAGGAAGCUGAUAGACCUGCUUUGUGUGAAUGUUUGCUUGUCAGACUGAGUAAGCACAGAAACAAAGACAUUGCCUGGAGCCGGUCUGUUUCUCUUUUCUCUUCUUGUGGUUUUCUACCACUGGGCUUUUCUCUUUUUAUUUGUUUGGACCUCCUAGUUGUAAAAAGCAUGCUUCCAGCUCUAGGGACUCGGUCGGAAAGAAGUGCAUGGCUGAUACAGGGAGCACUUUUGAGGAUGAAAUAAUCAAAGACUGAAAGGUUAGUGACAUUAAAUAUUUUUAAGACUACCAUAUUUUUAGUUGAAUUAUUAAGUGUAGUAUUUUUCAG
ensembl:lncRNA